UUGUAUGUCUAUAACCAUGUUUAUUCAUGAAUUUAUUUUGACCACAUUCAUGAUUACAAUGAUAUCAAAAGCCUAUUGGAUAAAAGAGUACACUGACUACAAUCACAGGGUAUACUGAAGCGGAACUGUUGUGUAUACUAAUACUAGCUAUUCUAUUUAAUACAACAAACAUGCCUCCAAACAUUUCAUACACACACACACACACACACACACACACACACACUAGUUUAACACAAGCACUAUGACACUGUAUUCUGUCAUCUGUAUUAAAAUUAAUUGCAUGCCUCUGACUGACAGAUUGGUUCAUGCUUACUUUACUAAUGCUAUUUUUAAGCUUUGUGAGUGAGAACAGGUUGAUUAUUAAUACAAUAAUCCAUUAUUAAUAGCCUAUUCAGUAUUUCUUUGCUAUAAGUUGUCGAUGUAAUGCUUAAUAAUGAGCUCUUGUAUUAUAAAGGACUAUCAUGCAUAAGGUCCUGUGUAAACAUGUAGGUGGGAAUAUUAGGCACCCUGCUUGUCUGAAAAAAAAAUUAAAAAUAAAAUAAAAAAAUUAAAAUAUAAAUAAAUAAAUAAAUAAAUAAAUAAAUAAAUAAAUAAAUAAAUAAAAAUAAUAAUAAUAAUUCCCUACAUUUAUAUAGUGCUUUUCUAGACACUCAAAGCGCUUUUACAUUGUAUGAGGGGAAAUCUCCUCAACCACCAAUAGCAACAGCACACGUUUGUGAUAUUGGUGGAGAGGAGUGUGAUGUAGCCAGUUAAGGGACGGACGAAGGUAAGACCUUUUGCAAGUUAAAUUCGUAAUUAUCGAGGAUCAGGUCCUUUACUUUCUUCUUAAGAUCGCUGAAAUAGUAUUCCACCUCUUUUAGCUGGCUGCAGUUGUUGAACAUGUAGUCAACAUAUUCUUCUGAUGAAACACUGGCUGGAUAAUCGUAAAAACGCGCAGGUGGAGUUACCCUUUCAAGCUCCUUGUCCGCAACUUUCCACUGCUCUACGGGUUCUUCUGGCUGACCAUAAUUGCCAUCAUAUCGAUGGGUAAACCAAGGUUGGUAAAUUGAGAUGGUUGAUUUUUUGUAGGUCUUGUACUGCUUCAUCAGCUCCUCUAAGUCGAAUUGGUAGCCGUCAAGCACAGUGUUGAUGGAAGUCAGGUAGACAUGAAGUUGUGCCUUGCGUUCUGUGGUGCGUUGUAUCUUCAUUCUCGCUGCAUGGAUGAGCAUCUGCAGAUGGAAAGCUGCGCCAUUGGCCCAGUGCUUCAGGGCGCGGGAGCUCAUUUGGUUAUCGUGCAGCAUGGAGUUUCUCAGACGGGUCAGCUGUUCACUCAGCUGUUUCUCCAGGCGUUCGGUCUCCUCUAUUGCUCGGGUCGGUUGCUGUAGAUUCAUACGUAGACGUUUCAAGUACUCGUCCAUCGAGUCUCUCACACUUGAAGCCUUUUCCUCAGCGAACACACGGCGCAUCAUGUCCAGUGUGCUGUGUUUACUCUCCGUUUCCUCCUGUAGACCCCUAAUUAUGAGCUCCAGGGCUAUGGACAGGACCAAUCCGCCUAAACCCACCGCGUUUGGUACACGUUUAAAACCAGUUAAAAUAGAACCCAGACUUUCCACAUAGUCCGGAGUCUUGCUGCUCAUGUGUUCUAGUACAUGGGUGACGGAGCUCUCUAGCUCAGCUGCUGAGUUUAAUCCGGAGUACUUCACCAAAGAGCCAUCGAUACCAAUAUCAGGUAUUAAAUCAGCUGACUCAGCAGUUGUUAACAUCCGUCUGCAAAAAAUGAUUCUAUGUACUUUACAUUGAGUGUUUCCCAUCGCGUUUCCCAUCCCAUCAACAGCACCACGGUAAAAACUAUAAAUCUUUAUGUUCUGAAGGAACCCAGAAACGUAUUAAGCGC
ensembl:lncRNA